AUUGAACGCUGGCGGAAUGCUUUACACAUGCAAGUCGAGCGGCAGCGCGGGGGCAACCCUGGCGGCGAGCGGCGAACGGGUGAGUAACAUAUCGGAACGUACCCGUCGUGGGGAGUAACACAGCGAAAGCUGUGCUAAUACCGCAUACGACCUGAGGGUGAAAGCGGGGGGAGUCGCAAGACCUCGCGCGAUGGGAGCGGCCGAUAUCGGAUUAGCUUGUUGGUGAGGUAAAGGCUCACCAAGGCGACGAUCCGUAGGCUGGUCUGAGAGGACGACCAGCCACACUGGAACUGAGACACGGUCCAGACUCCUACGGGAGGCAGCAGUGGGGAA
rnacentral:rRNA from 1 species